rnacentral:lncRNA from 10 species
CUAAGCUGUGGGAAAUGGGAAAUUGCGUAAAAAUCUGGGUUGGGUGAUUUAAAAAAAAAGCAGGGGCUGGGCAUAGGCAGUAAUAUAAGGCAAGAUGGCUAAGGAAGAAGGUGGGCAGCGGAGCCGGUGAAGGAAGCCGCAGGCGCGGAUGGAGGCGAAGAGAUCAGGAGCAGUAAAGGAACACUCUCUUCCCCAGUCAGCUGGGAUACGGAUUUUGUAAGGCCUAGGGACUUUGUCUUUGGAGGUCCUGUCUCCAUAAGGCUUCCCAAAACAAAGAAUGUUCAGAUUGGACUGGCCUUAAAAUGCAGUAUUUAAAACAGCAACAUGUCUGACAGAUCCGAGAAAUGAAAUACGUCCAUUUCUUUUGGCAAGGAGCAGAAGGCAACAUAAAGCAGCUGCAAGAAUUAAUUCAUGGAGAUAGUUGACAUUUUCGAGCUGACUGCCUCUUAGAGAAAAUGAUGUCAUUCUCCAGCAGCCUAAUGACAGUCAUCAGCCUGAGAGGACACAUGCUAAUAAGACUAUCACCAGCAAAGAAUUUUCUGAGCAAAUGUGUACUGGAGACCUUCUGAGGAACCCACUAGAGCCUGCACAUCCCCUUUUCCUAGCAAGGUCAACUGGAAAACAGUGUUCUUUCCAAGAUAACGUGCAACUUUCCUUUGGAAUGAUCAGCAGAAUGUCAAAUAAGGAAAGGACAUGUAGAGUUCAUGGGAGGAGACAUUACUUCUGGCUGCAGAAUUAUGGAGGCUUUAUGGGAGACGCCGUAUAUUUUAUCUGUGCGCCUUGAUCACGUGUCUGACCAUGGACAGAGAAACCAGCCUAAUGAGCCUUCUUUACAGGUCUUACUGCCUAUUAGAGCAAAGGAAGAGGAAAUCUUUGGCUAACCGGUCAGAGAAAACAACUGGAUUAAACAAGAUACUCUUCAUGACUGUGGUUGCAAAAAUGCAACACAACUUUUAAAAAUCUUAGUACUAAUUUUUAAAAAUGGCUUUUAAUUUGGGGGAGACUCGAUAACAGAACCCGAAAAUCUGAUGAAUUGUAUGAACAUUUUGUUCAGAAAAAUAAACAUAUAUUACCAGAAAAUUUCAUAUGUGAUUCAAGAAGUCCACAGAAGUUCCAUGUUAGUAAAAUUGAGGAACAAUGGUGACACCCUAAUGAUAGGGCAACAUGGUUCUGCUUUAGUAAGUCUGAGAGCUGCAGCUGUGAAAAGGGUCCUGACUCCAUUCAGGUUCGGGUUGAGAAUUCAGUUCUAGUGAAGCUCUUCACUACACAGCGAUUGAGAAAUCAAGGCUGUUGGCUGCUUGGACAUCUUUAAUGUGCGGCUUCCAGGACAGCAGUUCCCUUCUCAUUUGGGAUCGUUUUUGCCUGUAUAGAGUCUCAAUCUGUUGCCCAGGCUGAGGUGCAGUGGUGCGAUCACAGCUCACUGUAGCCUUGAACUCCCAGGCUCAAGCGAUCCUCCCACCUAGGCCUUCUGAGUAAUUGAGACCAUAGAGGGUCUAAAGAGGAGCUACUUUGUCACUCAUCACUCGCUUGAAUAUUCAUCAGCAACAGAAGAGGAAGCUGAUCUGGGGGGUGCCGGUGGUUGUCUACCAUUCGUUCUAGGGACCUGUCUGCGCAAUUGGACUUCCUGCCAUGUCUCAUGGUGCCUCCCUGAUGUCUCCUCACCUGCAACUCCAAAUCCCAGCCACUCUCCGUCUGCAUCCCUCAGCUACAUAGUUCCCUUUCUGGUCCUCUGCAUGAUGAGAUGGGGGAACUGAGGCCCUACGAAGUUAAAUGAUCUGCCAAGUUAUCCCUGAAAAACAUUAAGGCCCUCAAGUUUCCUAGGUUUAGGACUGAACAACUCCGGGAAUCUGAAAGAUGAUGCAAAUAAAGAGGAAGACGGACAUAAUCUCGAAGGGAGAGAAAGGAGCUGGGAAUGGGGGAUCAUAUUCUAAUAGCUCAUCAUCACCACAUGAAACAUACAAUGCAGAGGAACUCUUCAAGGGGUGAAGGGAAAGUAUAAAACAAGACAGAAGAUUUCCUUUCUUCCAUGAGGAUAUAAUUCUAGUGGGAGAACCAAUAAGCAAACCAGCAGAAGAAUCUUAGACUGGGAGACGUGCUAAGCUGAGAACUGGGGCAGCCGGUGCCUGGGGAGCUACACUGGAACUGUGAUUGUGAAACCAAUUCAAAGAGGUAGCAUUUACAGUGAGACCUGAAUGACAAGAAGGAGCCAGAUGUGCAGUGAUUCUCCAGGAAGGAGUUCCAGGUAUCGAGAACAGCUGGCAUAAAUGUUUGAAGGUGGGUAUAGCAGCACUAUUCACAAUAGCCAGAAGGUGGAAACAACCCUAACGUCCAUCAGCAGUUGAAUGGAUAAACAAAAUGUGGUAUAUCCAUGCUAUGGAAUAUUAUUCAGCCUUAAAAACAAAUGAAGGACUGAUACAUGAUAAUGUCAGGCCUCCGAGCCCAAGCCAAGCCAUCUCAUCCCCUGUGACUUGCACGUAUACAUCCAGAUGGCCUGAAGUAACUGAAGAUCCACAAAAGAAGUAAAAAUAGCCUGAACUGAUGACAUUCCACCAUUGUGAUUUGUUCCUGCCCCACCCUAACUGAUCAAUGUAGUUUGUAAUCUUCCCACCCUUAAGAAGGUUCUUUGUAAUUCUCCCCACCCUUGAGAAUGUACUUUGUGAGAUCCACCCCUGCCCACAAAACAUUGCUCUUAACUUCACCGCCCAUCCCAAAACCUGUAAGAACUAAUGAUAAUCCAUCUCCCUUCGCUGACUCUUUUCGGACUCAGCCCACCUGCACCCAGGUGAAAUAAACAGCCAUGCUGCUCACACAAAACCUGUUUGGUGGUCUCUUCACACGGACACACAUGAAACUAUGACUUGGAUGAACCUUGAAAACAUUAGGUUAAGUGAAAGAAGCCAGUCACAAAAGAAGCCAGUCACAUACAUAUUGUGUGAUUCCUUUUAUAUGAACUAUCUGGAAUAGAUUAGUCCAUAGAGACAGA